UGCUUUGGGAUUACAUUAUUUUCCUUCUCUCACCUUUGAAUGGCAGAACCAGAAAAGCAAUCUGUAUGGAAAGGGGUUGAGGCUGUUUAAAAAAUACUCACUCUGGACCCUGUGUCCUCCAGACUUAGCGGUUUGUCCCCUUUCCUGGGUGACAAUGAUGCUGAGACGCUGAACAACAUCCUGGCCUGCAGGUGGGACUUAGAAGAUGAAGAAUUUCAGGACAUCUCAGAGGAGGCCAAGGAGUUCAUCUCCAAGCUUCUGAUUAAGGAGAAGAGUUGGCGAAUAAGUGCAAGCGAAGCGCUCAAGCACCCCUGGCUGUCAGACCACAAGCUCCACUCCAGACUCAAUGCCCAGAAGAAGAAGAAGAAUCGUGGCUCUGAUGCCCAGGACUUUGUGACCAAAUAGUCUACAGGAGGCACCCAUUUGAAAGGAAAACUGCUGCGGUUGCUGCUGCUACGAGAAAAUUUUUUGAAAAAUCAGCAGUUCUGAUGCCUUGACCCUUAUGAUGAUUGGCAGUCUUAGCAGGGGGAGCCCUCGACCCUGAAUUUGAACUUGAACUGGAGUGCCUCUGCUGCGUUCAGAGGAUGCCCAGCGCUGCGGUCUGCUCUCAGGGCGCAGACACAUCCCUGCACCCGGUGGUAGUGACGUUGGGAAGAUGUUCCCUGCCAUCUUGAGAGUUUUUACUUCUAAAAAAUUUUUUUUGAUCUUAGUCACUGGGGGAGGGGCGCAUUGUGUCUGCUAUUUCUCAGAUGACUACAGCCAUGACACUUGAGAUGUACCAGAGAUUUUAAAACUGGAGGAUGCAUUUGGAGGGAGGAAGCUACUUCUAGCCAUUAGACUAUGCCUUUUGAAGGGGCAAUUAGAUGGCCAGAAAGAAUUCUAACUCCCAUGCACCCUUGAAGACUUAGUUUCUCAGACUCCGUCAUUUUGUCUACGGUCACAUGACUACAAUGGAUAAAUAAUUUGCUUGCUGGAACAGAAGCUGUCUUUGAAUUCCCCAACAAGAGGCAUCAGCCACUGUGUCUUUCAUUUAUUCUUAAUUGUCCCCAAAGCGCGUUUUCUUCCAAGUAGCUGAUUCUGUUUUUCACAUCUGUACUCCCUGCACCCUUCUGACUGACAGUUCAUCCCCACAAAACACAUUGGUUUUGAGAGGUGAUGCAAAAAGUAUCUGUUUAUGGUUGGUCUUUGAAAUUCUGACCUUUGGAAUAAUGUCAACAGUCACAAGAGGUUUCCUCAAGCCCCAGUUGUCAACGAAAAGAGACAGAUCUGCACCUCCUGGAGCAAGACAGCACUGAGCUUUUAAUGUUGAAGUGACUUGGGAAGUAACCUUCAAGCUUCUGGGUAAACACAAACAAACAUUGACAAAGACCAAGUCCAGUCUCUCGCCCUGCUGUCUCACGGGACUCAGUGGGGGUAAAGAAAUCGCAGUUGGGCACCAGAGGUGACGGCAACUCUGCGAGUUCACCUGCCGGACGUGAGAACGUUGGAAUGUUCCAGUUGGAAGGUUCCUAUGCCUAGCCCAUGUGCCAUUUCACAGCAGAUAUGUUAGAAGGGAAAUGGUCCUGCUGUAGAUAGUUAUGGGGCCCAGAAAGGCACUGGGCUUUAAAGAGCAAAACGACUGUGUCGUUUCCACAUGAGGGAGAGGCAAGGAAAAGCCCCACAAAAUUCCCAUUACCCGCUCAACUCCAAGCUCACCACCCAGCUUCAUGAACUUUCCUCACAUUUUCCAUUUCCAAAUAACUGUUGCGUUGAAUCAGCUGUGUUAAUGCCUUUAUUCUUUGCGUUUUGUUUGUUUGUUUGUUUUUGUUUUGACGGAGUCUUGCUCUGUCGUGAGGCUGGAGUGCAGUGGCACCAUCUCAGUUCACUGCAACCUCCGCCUCCCCGGUUCAAGCGAUU